rnacentral:RNase_MRP_RNA from 1 species
CCAGCACAUGACGAAGUGAGCGGGCUCUUUGCAGCCCUGGAAAGUCCCCGGGCCCUCGAUCGCAGAGAUGCGACCGCGGAGACGCGGAAAGUCUCAGCGCUCGCGCCCUCCUCUUCACGAGGGGGCAGAGACAAGUGUGUGGAGCCCUUUGGGCGCGAGUCGAGAUCAAAAUGGCCAAUAACACAGUUAUUCACUUGAAUCCAUCAUUGGAUUAACAGAACGGGGCUUACGAUCGUGUGCAA